rnacentral:lncRNA from 1 species
GUGAAGGUGGGAGGUGAAAUGGACUAUCGCUCUUUGGAGGUCGAGUGUACACUGCCCCAUCCGUGUUCCCAGGCUUCCUGUGAAGUGGGAGGGUGCCGUCCUUAUUCUGCUGAUGAGGAAAGAGAGGCUUGGACGGCGAAGUAACCCAGCUCCAGGUCACUCAGCCAGUGCACAGCCCGGAUUGUUUCCUUCACUGACUCCUAACGCAGUGCUCCGUGUAUUUCAUCACCACCCUUCAGGCCGUGGGGACCAAGGGCCGAAGGGGUGCGGCCUGAGGCGGCCGGGACACUGCGCCUAGGUGGCGCGGUGGCAUUGAAUGGGUUAAGGAGGGGAGGUGGCGGGUGUCCCUUAACUGCACCUGGCCCAGUAUCGGUCACGUGGCCAGGGUUUCACCUGCCCCGCUGAGCAGGGACAAUCAGGCUGCUUGUUUUGUGGCCGGUCGCCAUGGUGACAGCAGCUUGCCAGGGGCGGUCAUGGGGCAAAUUCCUGCUGGCCAGCCGGGUGGGGCAGGAGUGUCAGCUGUGCUGGCACCAGUCGGGGCUUCCCGAAAGACCCCUGGAGCUUUCCCGUGGGGCUGUCCCUGGGGGGCCCCUAUGUGACUCCGCUCGAAACCUCCUCCCAUCUCAACCCCCACAUCAGCCCAGCUUCUCUCCUCCCAGAUUUUGAACCUGAGUUGAUGUAUUAAGCAGCCGGGAUUUUCAUAUACGUUAUUGUGUUUAAUCCUCACACAGCAACCUUUCCCAUGUGGGAAUGGUAAUCCCUGCAGGUCUGCUGCCGGCUGCGCCUCCCCUACUACUCACCCAACACUUUGAGAACACUGGCUCCUUCCUGCCUUGCUUCAACAAGCCCAGAUCCAUUAGAGCCUCUCACUGCACGCCAAGCACCUUCCUAGACGCAGCCGUGAACAAAACAACAAAUUAAUCUCACAACAAAGGAUUAUGUCCGAGUAUUUAUUUUCUUCGGAACAGGUUCAGAGCAGACACAGUGCAGCCUGCGGAACUGGAGGGGCUGUUGACACAGGAUGAUGGAUGUCUUGUCAUUGCUGCUAGAGGGCUGGAUGCUGUACAACUCCCUGCAGGCUCCCUCCUCUCUAAGCAAAUCUGGCCCUGUUGAGUAUGCAGGAAUUGUGGCCCAGUCUCAGGAGGACUGAGGUUAAACUUGUUUCCAGGCGUGACCCACCGCACCCAGCCCCGAUUUACACUUUCAAAGGACUAUUUGGCUGUGUAGAAGAAGGUGUGAGGCAGAUUAGAGGGGAAGCAGAGGAGAAGCGGCAAAAUGAGGAAGCUAUUGCAGACAUUCAACUGAGGCAUGAUGGUCACAUGACUGGAAGGUGGCUGUGGAAGUAGGGAAAGAAAGAUAGAUUUGGGAUGUAUUUUGGAGUUCGAAUCAACAGGAUUUGAUGAGGAAUGGGAUGGGGAGGGGGAAAGAUGGUGGUGAGGGAGAGGAAGACACCAAGGACAGCUCCCAGGUUUCUGGAUUGAACAUGUGGGUGGCGAGUAGUUGUGCUAUUUACUGAGAUGGGGAAGGUGGUUUUGUUUGUUUGUUUUUUUCCACUCUAUAGGGUGCAAGUAAGGAGACUCUAGAAUGUCCACUUGGGACAUUCUAGCAGUUACCGAAUGUCAAUAAAAACUUAGAUGUGCAAUGACAUUAUUUUCUGUAAUUCAUCUUAGCUUUCACCCCAGUGCUGUAGGGGGCCUGCCCCUCCACACCUGUGGGUAUUUCUCGUCAGGUGGGACGAGAGACUGAGAAAAUAAAUAAGACAGAGACAAAGUAGAGAGAAAGAACAGUGGGCCCAGGGGAUCAGCGCUCAGCAUACGGAGGACCCGCACCGGCACUGGUCUCUGAGUUCCCUCAGUAUUUAUUGAUUAGUAUUUUCACUAUCUCGGCAAGGGGAAUGCAGCAGGAGAACAGGGUGAUAGUGGGGAGAAGGUCAGCAGGAAAACGUGAGCAAAGGAAUCUAUGUCACAAAUAAGUUCAAGGGAAGGUACUGUGCCUGGAUGUGUACAUAGGCUAGAUUUAUGCUUCUCUCCACCCAAACAGCUCAGUGUAGUAAAAAAUUACAGCGCAGCAUUGCCGCCAGCAUAUCUUGCCUCCAGCCACAGGGCGGUUUUCUUCUAUCUCAGAAUAGAACAAAUGUACGAUCGGGUUUUACACUGAGACAUUCUGUUUCCAGGGACAAGCAAGAGACAGAGGCCUUCCUCUUAUCUCAACCGCAAGAGGCCUUCCUCUUUUACUAAUCCUCCUCAGCACAGACCCUUUUUUGGGUGUUGGGCUGGGGGACGGUCAGUUCUUUCCCUUCCCACGAGGCCACAUCUCAGGCUGUCUCAGUGGAGGGAAACUUUGGACAAUGCCCAGGCUUUCUUAGGCAGAGGUCCCUGCGGCUUUCCGCAGUGCAUUGUGCCCUUGGUUAAUCGAGACUGGAGAAUGGCGAUGACUUUUACCAAGCAUACUACCUGUAAACAUAUUGUUAACAAGGCACAGCCUGCACAGCCCUAGAUCCCUUAAACCUUGAUGCCAUACAGCACAUGUUUCUGUGAGCACAGGGUCGGGGCUAAAGUUUACGGAUUAACAGCAUCUCAAGGCAAAACAAUUUUCUUAGUACAGAUCAAAAUGGAGUUUCUUAUGUCUUCCUUUUCUACAUAGACACAGUAACAGUCGGAUCUCUCUCUUUUCCCUAUACAAUGCUCUAUAUGUUUGAGAUGCCCCUGAGAUAUUAGAACAGUUAACACUUAUGGAAUGCUUAACAAAUGCCAAGCACUGUUCUUGUUACCAAAACAGCAGGGGUUCAGGCGAGGUCCUGCUGCUUGCCGCACAGAAAGCCAAUCACUGAGACGAUUAUUGCCAAGGAAGAAGGCUUUAAUUGGGUGCUGUGGCUGAGAUGGGAGAUUGGUCUCAAAUCCAUCUCCCUGAUCGACUGAAGUUAGGGUCUUAUAUAGCAGGGAACAAAUGUAACCAUGUAUGGGAAAACAAGAACUUGGGGGAAGGGUAAGGAAGCAAUCAUGAUGAAUGAGGGGCCUGGCAUUUCAUUGUCUAGAUGCCAUGAUCUGGUGAGUUUCAGUUCUUUCAUACUUUUUGAGAGGGCUGAUGGUCAUUUCCUAAAGAAGAAAUUCAGAUCAAGUAAAUGUAAGUUUCAAGCGUGAGCCACCGCGCCCAGCCAGAAAGUGGUUUCUUGAGAUGGAAACUACUCCUGGUGAAGAUUGUGUGAACACUGUUGAAAUGACAACAAAGGAUUUAUAAUAUCCUAUAAACUUGGUUGAUCAGCCAUCUAAGUUUUAUAGUUUUAGAUCUUAUAUUUAGGUCUUUGAUCCAUUUUGAGUAAAUUUUUUUAUAUGGUGUUAAGGAACCAACUUCAUUUUUUUGCAUGCAAAUAUCCAGUUUUCCCAGCAUUAUCUGUGAAAAGAUUGCCCAUUCCUCACUGAGUGGUUUUGGUAUCCUUAUUGAAAAUUAUUUGACUUCAUAUAUGAGUGUUUAUUUCUGAGCUUUUUAUUCUAUUCCAUUGGUCUAUAUGUCUGUCUUCAUGCCAGUACCACUGUUUUGAUUACUGUAGCUUUGUAGUAAGUUUUGAAAGCAGAAAGUAUGAGUCCUCCAACUUUGUUCUUUUUUUUUCUGAGACAGAGUCUCACUCUGUCACCCAGGUUGGAGUGCAGUGGUGCAAUCUCAGCUCACUGCAACCGCCACCUCCCAAGUUCAAACAAUUCUUGUUCCUCAGCCUUCUGAGUAGCUGGGAUUACAGGCUCGCACCACCAUGCCUGGCUAAUUUUUGUAUUUUUAGUAGAGACGGUGUUUCACCAUGUUGGCCAGGCUGGUCUUGAGCUCCUGACCUCAGGUGAUCCGCCUGCCUCGACCUCCCAAAGUGCCGGGAUUACAGGCAUGAGCCACCGCGCCUGGCCUCUUACUGUUUCUGGAUAUGAAUUUCCUGCUUCAAUCAGGUCAGCCUCUGCUCACUCUUGUGCAUAUCAUUUUUCUGCCUUGUGCAUAUCAUUUUUCUCCUUGCUGUUGCCCAUCAGUGAAUCCUGCUUGGGAAGGCUUCCCCUCUUAGCUCUGCCCAUCUCAAACUUACUUAUUUAAGACUCAGAAGCAUACUUAUAGGUUGGGCAUGGUGGCUCACGCUUGUAAUUCCAGCAUUUUGGGAGGGUGAGGUGGGCGGAUCACUUGAGCCCAGGAGUUCCAGACCAGCCUGGGCAAUAUGACAAAACCCUGUCUCUAUUUAAAAAAAGAAAUUUAGGCCGGGCGCAGUGGUUCAUGCCUAUAAUCCGAGCACUUUGGGAGGCCGAGGUGGGCGGAUCACAAGGUCAGGAGAUCGAGACCAUCCUGGCUAACAUGGUGAAACCCCGUCUCUGCUAAAAAUACAACAACAACAAAAAAUUAGCCGGGUGUGGUGGCAGGCACCUGUAGUCCCAGAUACUUGGGAGGCUGAGGCAGGAGGAUAGCAUGAACCCGGGAGGCAGAGCUUGCAGUGAGCUGAGAUGGCGCCACUGCACUCCAGCCUGGGCAACCAAGCGAGACUCCAUCUCAAAAAAAAAAAAAAAAAAAAAAAAAAAAGAAAUGUAAUUAAAAAACAACAACAACAACAACCAGCCCUGCAGCACUAUUCACAAUAGCAAAGGCAUGGAAUCAACCUAAAUGCCCAUCAGUGAUAGACUGGAUAAAGAAAAUGUGGUACAUAUACACCAUGGAGUACUAUGCAGCUAUAAAAAAGAAUGAGAACGUGUCUUUUUCAGGAACAUGGAUGGAGCUUGAGGCUGUUAUCCUUAGCAAACUAACACAGGAGCAGAAAACCAAAUAGCGUAUGUUCCUGCUUAUAAGUGGGAGCUAAAUGAUAAGAACUUAUGAACACAAAGAGGGAAACAACAGACACUGGUGUCUACUUGAGGGUGAGGGUGGGAGGAGGGAGAGGAGCAGAAAAGAUCACUAUUGGGUACUGGGCUUACUUGGGUGACAAAAUAAUCUGUUCAACAAACUCCUGUGACACGUGUUUACCUAUGUAAGAAACCUUCAUAUGUAUCCCCAAACCUAAAAUAAAAGUUAAUUAAAAAACCCAACCAAACCAAAAACCGGCCAGGCGUGGUGGCUCACGGCUGUAAUCCCCACACUUUGGGAGGCCAAGGUGGGCAGAUCACUUGAGGUUAGGAGUUUGAGAGCAGAUGGGCCAACAUGAUGAUACACCAUCUCUACUAAAAAUACAAAAAGUUUGGCUGGGGAUGGUGGCUCACGCCUCUAACCCCAGCACUUUGGGAGGCCAAGCCAGGAGGAUCACCUGAGGUCAGGAGUUCGAGACUGGCCUGGCCAACAUGGCAAAACACUGUCUCUACUAAAAUUACAAAAAUUAGGCGUGCUGGUGGGUGCCUGUAAUCAUAGCUACUUGGGAGGCUGAGGCAGCAGAAUUGCUUGAAUCCGGUAGGUGGAGGUUGCAGUGAACCGAGAUCGUGCCAUUGUACUCCAGCCUGGGCGACAAGAGGUAAACUCUGUCUCAGAAAAACCCCCAAAGUUAGCUGGGCAUGGGGGUGGGUGCCUGUAAUCCCAGCUACUUGAGAGGCUGAAGCGGGAGAAUUCCUUAAACCCGGGAGGCGGAGGUUACAGUGAGCUGAGAUCGCACCACUGCAUCCUAGCCUGGGCCAGAGAGCGAGACCCCGUCUCAAAGAAAACAAUAACAACAACAAAAAACUAAAAAACCAAAACCAAAACAAAAAAACCCUACUUAUUCAAGGCUGUCUAUGAAGUCUUUUUAGACUGUUAUACCCCUCUAUGACCUUUGAACUCUUCUGGACCCAAUCUGCUAUUCCUUGAUUGCACAUAAGACAUAAUUAAUUUAUUUUCCAAACUGCAUGAUGGGCGCGGGCCUUGUCUUCCCUUUACAGAGCAUCAGCUCUGAGCAGGGCAUUCUGCUAGGCUCAGGGCAUACUGAGGAUGACAAGAUGCUUAGGGGUUGCUCCCUGACAGAGCAUGGUCUGGGGGUAGAGGAAAGAUAAGCUAAGAGGUGAUUCUGGACCAGUGUAACAAAUAGCAUCGAAUGGUCAUGGUUGCGGGAUGCACAGGAGUCAGGGAACCGUUCUCAACUGAGAUGUGAAAUGACCUCUUUUUUUUUUUUUUUUCUUUUUUGAGAUCGAGUCUCACUUUGUCACCCAGGCAGUGCAGUAGUGCAAUCUCGGCUCACUGCAACCUCCGCCUCCCGGGUUCAAGCAGUUCUCCUCCUCAGCCUCCCGAGUAGCUGGGAUUACAGGCGCCCGCCACCACGCCUGGCUAAUUUUUUUGUAUUUUUAGUAGAGAUGGGGUUUUACCAUGUUGGCCAGGCUGGUCUCGAACUCCUGGCCUCAAGUGAUCCACCUGCUUUGGCCUUCCAAAGUGCAGGGAUUACAGGCGUGAGCCACUGUACCCGGCUGAAUGAUUUCUCUCUUUCUUUUUUUUUUUUUUCCCUGAGCAAUCUUGCUCUCUUGCCCGGGUACAGAGCAGUGGCACGAUUAUAGCUCACUGCAGUCUUGACCUUAUAUGCUCAAGUGAUCCUCUCACUUCAGCCUCCCAAAUAGCUAGGACUAUAGGCAUGUGCCACCAUGCCUGGUUAAUUUUUAACAUUUUUUGUAGAGAUGGGGGUCUUGCUAUGUUGCCCUGGCUGGUCUCAAGUGAUCAACUUCUGGGCUCAAAGUGAUCCUCCCACCUUGGCCCCCCAAAGCGCUUGUAUUACAGGCAUGAACCACCAGGCCUAGGCUAUAAAGUGAUCUCUAAGCUUGGCAAGUAGAGUGGGGUAAGAUUGGAUAAACUGCCAAGAAGAGAGAACUUGUGGCCAGGCAUGAUGGCUCAUGCCUGUAAUCCCAGCACUUUGGGAGGCCGAGGCGGGAGGAUCACCUGAGGUCAGGAGUUUGAGACCAGCCUGGCCAAUAUGGUGAAACCCCACUUCUACUAAAAAUACAAAAUUUAGCCAGAUGCAGUGGCACGUGCCUAUAAUCCCAGCUACUCAGGAGGCUGAGGCUGGAGAAUUGCUUGAACCCAGGAGUGAGCUGAGAUUGUGCCACUGCACUCCAGCCUAGGUGACAGAGCAAGACUCUGUCUCAAAAAAAAGAAGAGAGGGCCGGGCAUGGUGGCUUACACCUGUAAUCCCAGCACUUUGGGAGGCUGAGACGGGCGGAUCAUCUGAGGUCAGGAGUUCGAGACCAGCCUGGCCAACAUGCUGAAACCCCUGUCUCUACUAAAAAAAUACAAAAAUUAGCCGGGCGUGGUGGCAUGUGCCUGUAAUCCCAGCUACUCAGGACGCUGAGGCUGGAAAAUCACUUGAACCCAAGAGGCAGAGGUUGCAGUGGGCUGAGAACGUGCCACUGUACUCCAGCCUGGGCAACAGAGCAAAACUCUUUUCUCUAGAGACGAAGAAGAGAGAACUUGUGCUGAAGCCUAUGGUCCAGAGAGUGCAGGGAGAGUGCAGGGUUUUUGAGGAGAGAAAGGAUGUCGAGUGGGGUUGAGCUUGGUGGCUGGGAUGUGGAAGGGCAGUUUGGGGAGCACAGGUGGAAACAGAGAGGCGAGCAUGGCCUGUGCUCACAGGGGCUCCUAAGGCAUGGCAUGAAGUCUGAGUGGGAUCUGGAGGGCCAUCUGGGGGUAGAGGGCCUGAAGGAUUUUAAGUAGGGGAAUGACAUGGUCAGACUCAGGAUUGCACUGCGACUAAUGGCUUGGAAAGGGGCAUAGCUAGGUUGGGAGUGUAGGGAGGGAGCCUGGGGACCAGAAACCCUCUCCAGGCUGUUACAGAAAGAGGGUGGUGUCCUGGCUGAAGUUGCGGCGGUGCGAGUGGAGAAUAGAGGUCGAUGCAUCCAGACAUAAAGAGAAGGUUGACAGUUUAGGGACUGGUUAUUUUAUUUUAUUUUUUUUUGAGACUGAGUCUUGCUCCGUCGCCCAGGCUGGAGUGCAGUGGCGUUAUCUUGGCUCACUGCAAUCUCUGCCUCCUGGUUUCAAGCGAUUCUCCUGCCUCAGCCUCCCAAGUAGCUGGAAUUAUAGGCGUGUGCCACCA